UACGUAGGGUGCGAGCGUUAAUCGGAAUUACUGGGCGUAAAGCGUGCGCAGGCGGUUCGCCAAGUCAGGGGUGAAAUCCCCGGGCUUAACCUGGGAAUUGCGCUUGAAACUAGCGGGCUUGAGUGUGGCAGAGGGGGGUGGAAUUCCACGUGUAGCAGUGAAAUGCGUAGAGAUGUGGAGGAACACCGAUGGCGAAGGCAGCCCCCUGGGUCAACACUGACGCUCAUGCACGAAAUCGUGGGGAGCAAACAGG
rnacentral:rRNA from 1 species